GGAGAAGCAGAAGUUCCAGAACUUACAUCUACCUAGAGAGGUUUGUCUAACCAGCCUGGCUGAGGACAGAAGAUUUUCUGGGGGAAAGGAAACUUGACUUGCCAAAGGAUAGGAGCCAAUGGAUUUUGCAAUCCUGUAAAACUAAGAUGAGCACUUCCUUCCUUUUGGCACCACGAUACUCCAAGAUCCUUCUGUAUUUUGCUUGUCUCAGCUCUGGAACCAACCACUUCUCCAAGAUCCAAGAAUCUAAGAUCAGCACACUAUAUGUGCUCACUGCUACUGGAGUAUCAUUCUUCUCCAUAGAAAGAGCUAAGAAAUAUA